ensembl:lncRNA
UUGUCAUUGCAUUGUGUGGACAAGCCAUCUGACCUGUGCUCUGUUGACAUCAGUGAUCAGAGAUUGAAUUUGGUAAGAUUUGCUCUUUGAGCGAUUCAUUUAAUUUAGUGUUGGAUGAAUUCAAACAGUCUUAAUUCCAAUGGGAGAUAGUUUAUAGGUAGACACAUAGCUUCAUAAAGUUCAGUAAUGUUUGACGUUUUUUUCUUUCUUCAACAGAUCAAUACAGAAGAUUUCCUGGAUUUUGAGAAUGUUGCUUAUGUCAACGCAUCUGACAACAGUCUUACCAUAGAGCCUUUUGGUAAAUUCCCCUCUCUGAGGGAACUUGAGCUAUCCUUGAAUGGCCUCUGCAAUGUGACACUCAAUGCGGAAGAUUUCCCUCACCUGGAGGUGUUGGAUUUGUCUUACAACAAUCUGUCUGGUGAUGACAUCAUGUCCGUUGGUCUACUUCCCUGUCUGAAAGUCCUUCAUCUCACCGGGAAUCAACUUCAGUUUCUUCCUCCCAACCUGGCAGCCCCUCCCCAUGGCCCCUCACAACGGUAAGUUUAUGUUACUGGAAUCAAAUUGUUUUUAUUGUAAAUAGUCAACUUUUUACUGUAGGUAGGUGCAGUUUUCUGGUUUAGUUCACCCAGUCAUUGAUGAAAUAUUCCUACUCAACAGGGUUUAACGACAGGAAUGAAAUGAGUGGCUUCCUGGUGUGCAAGUGUUCAGAAACGUGGCUCUUGUUAAUUGUUAUCUGCUUAAAGUUUAUGGUGUAGUACCCUACCUUCCAUUAGGUGGCAGUAUAGAAUUACAAAGAAGAGAGAUUUACAUUCUGUCUCGUUAUACAAGUUUGCACUGAAUACCUGCAAACAGUGAUGGACAAUACACACUUAAAGUAAUUUUAUGAAAACUAUAAGUAUGGCGAAUAAUAAGCUAAUAUUUACUCCUACUGAAUAGUGCAAAGGAUAAUGGCAUGCGAUUUCAAACUCUUGAAGUGCUGAUGCUAGAUGACAAUAAGCUGUCCUCUGGUGUCUUCAGCAGCCUUGCCAACCUGAAAAGGCUACAGCAUUUAAACCUGCAAGGGAAUCGUAUCUCAGAGGUACCAGAGGUGUUGCCGAGGAACCUGCAACAGAAGGGAUAUCUGCAACACCAGCAGGUGUUUCACAAACAAAAUUGUGACCUACAGGACCUCAGGAAUCACCAUGUCUUUGAGGGGUUAGAGACUGAAUACAUGAAUGCUGUCUCCGGUGUUCCGAAACACCAGCAUGAACAUAUCAAGAACAGUUCAGAGGAUGAGUGUGGUCAAUCCAAAGACGAUUCCCCCAUUCGCAUAUCCCUUGACACUGAGAAAUUUUCUGGAGCAUACGGUUUGCCACUACCAGAGCUUUGUUUCCUCAAUCUGGCUGACAAUAAGGUCUGUAUAUUGUCUGAAUAUAUUUGGGAAGACUAUACUGUGAGUAAGUGGAGUCACUUGUGUCUCAUUAUUGCCUCCAGAUUGUUGAGGAAGAAGCACUGUUGUCUGUGGCCCUGUUUCCUAUGCUCAGUGAGAUUGUUAUUCACUCCAACCCACUGA